rnacentral:rRNA from 1 species
AUUGAACGCUGGCGGCGUGCUUAACACAUGCAAGUCGAACGAAGUGGCGAACGGGUGAGUAACGCGUAAUCAACUUGCCCUUCAGAGGGGGACACCAGUUGGAAACGACUGCUAAUACCGCAUACUGAAGGACGGGACUGCGUCUGAUUAGCUAGUUGGAGGGGUAACGGCUCACCAAGGCGAUGAUCAGUAGCCGGUCUGGGAGGAUGGACGGCCACAUUGGGACUGGUACACGGCCCAGGCUCCUACGGGAGGCAGCAGUGGGGAAUCUUCCGCAAUGGACGGAAGUCUGGCGGGGCAACGCCGCGUGAGUGAUGACGGCCUUCGGGUUGUAAAGCUCUGUUAAUCGGGACGCGGUACCGGAAUAGAAAGCCACGGCUAACUCCGUGCCAGCAGCCGCGGUAAUUC